rnacentral:rRNA from 1 species
AACGAACGCUGGCGGCAGGCCUAACACAUGCAAGUCGAACGCUCGUAGCAAUACGGGAGUGGCAGACGGGUGAGUAACACGUGGGAACCUACCCUUUGGUUCGGAAUAGCCCAGGGAAACUUGGGGUAAUACCGGAUAAGCCCUUCGGGGGAAGGAUUUAUCGCCGAAGGAUGGGCCCGCGUCGGAUUAGCUAGUUGGUGGGGUAACGGCCUACCAAGGCGACGAUCCGUAGCUGGUCUGAGAGGAUGAUCAGCCACACUGGGACUGAGACACGGCCCACGACUCCUACGGGAGGCAGCAGUGGGGAAUAUUGGACAAUGGGCGCAAGCCUGAUCCAGCCAUGCCGCGUGAGUGACGAAGGUCUUCGGAUUGUAAAGCUCUUUUGGCGGGGACGAUAAUGACGGUACCCGCAGAAUAAG